UUGGUCAUUCUUGAAAUCAACCAAAAACAUGUUGAUGAUUAUCCUCUAUUUCACUGAUAAGGAAAAGAUAAGUUUGAAGAGUUAAAAUUUUUUUUUAGCAAUAAUAGAGUAGGAGGAGAGGACAUUGGCUGUCACAUCUAUGCCCAACCACCCACAGUCUCUACCGUCCCAGGUUGCAGUGCGAAGUCCGGCUUUCCUGGCACACCGCGAUUGCCCCAGACCUCCCGUCUCAUUGGCUCUGUCUCCUGAUUUUCUCCUAUGAGAAUAUUUUUCCCCCCUUUAAGCUGUCUCUACUCAUUGUCUAACUCACAUGUGCCUCUGCCCCUUUAUGCUCCGUUUUCCCUCCCUUCUUUGUCUAAACUCUGUCUUUGUAUCCUUCAGCCUGGAUGCCUCCAUGCAACUCUCAGGGGCUGCUCCAGGCUUUGCCAGGUCUCUCAUCUGGAUCCCUCUCAACUGGCACUCUGCCUAGUGGGCCUCACCCUCCAAUAUCUCUCAUGAUUUCAUUAGCCUCUGCGGCCAUGCGGACAGCAGAAAGUAGAAAGGCUUUGGAAUCAGAUAAAUUUGUGUGGAGAUCCAGACUCUUUCCCUGAGGAACUGUGAUCAUUUAACCUCUCUGUCGUUUCAUUUUUCUCAUGUGGAAAGUGGGAAUCGUAAUAUACAGCUUACAGAGUUCUUGGGAACAUCAAAUGAAGUCCUGUGUACAAAGUGCCUCGUCCCUUAUACCAUCAAGUAAGUCAGAGCUUCGUCUCAUGUGUUCCCUGCUUUAUCUGUGGCACCUAGGAGAGUUCUUAGCACAGAGUCGGUGCUCAGUUAAUGCUUAUUAAAUGAAUUAAUGAAUAUUCAGUACACAAUAAACAUUAGUUCUUAUCUAUUUUUUCAAUACUUUUUGCAGGGCAGGGUGUAUGCAUGUAUAAACUGGGAGGAACUUUGAUAAAUGUUUUCUUGGAGGUUCUUGGUCUCCCAAUGGCACAUAAAGGUCUAUUUAUUACGGCAGUUAACCCACUUGUCUAUGAACUUCAAUGCUAUUCCCUACUGAUGAAAGCAGUAGCAGAGUAAAAAUAAUAAUAAUCUUAUAAAAUAAAUGAGGGAACUAGAAAAGGGCAUUUGGGAAAUAUUUAUCAAUUUUUAACCUUUUGUACCUGUCCAGCAUGUUGAGAAAUACACCAUAAAACUCAAAGAUAAAGUACAGACAUCAAUAAUAAAGGUAUGAAGAAGGAAAGAAGGAAGGAAGGAGGAAGUGUAGAAAGGAGG